rnacentral:rRNA from 1 species
GACGAACGCUGGCGGCGUGCUUAACACAUGCAAGUCGAACGGAAAGGCCCUGCUUUUGUGGGGUGCUCGAGUGGCGAACGGGUGAGUAACACGUGAGUAACCUGCCCUUGACUUUGGGAUAACUUCAGGAAACUGGGGCUAAUACCGGAUAGGAGCUCCUGCUGCAUGGUGGGGGUUGGAAAGUUUCGGCGGUUGGGGAUGGACUCGCGGCUUAUCAGCUUGUUGGUGGGGUAGUGGCUUACCAAGGCUUUGACGGGUAGCCGGCCUGAGAGGGUGACCGGCCACAUUGGGACUGAGAUACGGCCCAGACUCCUACGGGAGGCAGCAGUGGGGAAUAUUGCACAAUGGGAGGAAGCCUGAUGCAGCAACGCCGAGUGCGGGAUGACGGCCUGCGGGUUGUAACCCGCUUUCGCCUGUGACGAAGAGUGAGUGACGGUAAUGGGUAAAGAAGCACCGGCUAACUACGUG